GUGGGUCUUGUAGUUGGCACAAAUAUUUUCUGCCCUACAACCAUAAGUACGGGAGUGGUCCCUGAUCACGGUGUGCAAGCUCAUGUGGACUUCGGUCAACUGAUGAGAAGCCUAAAGUGGUUAAUUACUGCGCCCACCUGUCUAAUAGAGGCAGGAAAAUCUAGACCUUCUACAAGACCCAUU
rnacentral:other from 1 species